UUGCUGGCAGGGACUGGGGAGCUGGCUGGCUGGCUGCUGGGAAGUGCUGGCUGGAGGUCCUGAGAAGAGGGUGAAGAAGGUGCUCUGGCUGCCGGGAAGUGGCCAAGAGAAUUGAAGCAGUAUUGUCGGAGAAGUUAAGGAGAGGCAGCAGGAGGCUGCUAUCUACAGGGUCCCUGGGCUGGGACCCAGAGUAGUGGAUGUGCCCGGUUCCCCCCGACUCGCCACUAGGGAAGUGGCUGGACUAUAGAGCUGGGAGAUACUUCCCUCCUCCCCGCAGAAGGGGGAAAAUGUGGAUGGUGGUAUGGACGGAGGGGCGAGUCAUGAAGAGGACUCUAUGGAAUCAGGCAUUUCUGCAGGCAGAGAAGGUGGCGGGAGAGGCCUGACCAGAAGAGGGCUGAGAGAGCUAAUCCCCAAGAUGGCCAGCAGGAGCUGCUGCUCUGUUUCAGACCAGACCAGAAGUGGACAUACAGAAAUGCCUGUAGAAAGGCUGUACUCCCAAGAUUCCUGCUUGGACCAGAAGCAAAGAAUAACUUAAAUCGCAAGAGAAUGCCUGUUCUUAUGAAAUCCACAGCCAGAUUUCUAGAUCAAAGAAGUUCAGAUGAGCAGCUAAACUUUUGGUUGCUUCUUCAAACUGAACCUUUGGAUCUUCGCCCAUCACUAGUCCUUGCUGGAUUCAAGAAGCUGCAACAGCGGAGGAGAAAAGAGAGAAGAAAAUAGGCUGGUUGGAAAACCCUCUGUCCAGAAGAGCUCACGGUAAAAUGAGAAGGAGAAUAGUGGUCUACUGCACUGGGAUGUUGGGUGCAGUCAGCAGUAAAUCCUAUACGCUAUUCAGGUUUCCAGGUUGGGACAGAGGUGCACAUCUUGGGGGAGCUGUACAUCCUUCAAAGCUGGCAGAGCAUCUACCCACAAUGGAACUGCUUUAACAGACGGCUCGAGCCCACACUUCCGAGGUCAGAAUGGAGCCCUAACUCUCUACCUCGAAGUUCGAUGCUGAAGAAAGAUGGAGCCAUUCAGAUAAGUGUGUCACAAAGCUUGGUCGAGCACAUCAAAAAUCUGUUUUAAAA